rnacentral:rRNA from 1 species
GCGAGAAAGUCGCCUUCGGGUGGCGAGUACAGCGGCGGACGGGUGAGUAACGCGUGGAUAACCUACCUGGAGAUCUGGGAUAACCCUGCGAAAGCGGGGCUAAUACCGGAUGUAUCCGGCACUCACUUUACGAUGCACAGUUGAUAAAAGCAUGAACGAGUGGAUAGUAAAGUGAGUGCCGGAUAAAGGUGGCCUCUGAAACAAGCCAUCGUCUCCGGAUGGGUCCGCGUCCCAUUAGCUUGUUGGUGGGGUAAAGGCCUACCAAGGCAACGAUGGGUAGCUGGUCUGAGAGGAUGAUCAGCCACACUGGGACUGGAACACGGCCCAGACUCCUACGGGAGGCAGCAGUGGGGAAUAUUGGGCAAUGGGCGCAAGCCUGACCCAGCGACGCCGCGUGAGGGAAGAAGGCCCUCGGGUCGUAAACCUCUGUCAGGAGGGAAGAAGUGGGUUCUGGUUAACAGCCGGGGCCUUUGACGGUACCUCCAAAGGAAGCACCGGCCAACUCCGUGCCAGCAGCCGCGGUAAUACGGAGGGUGCAAGCGUUAUUCGGAAUCACUGGGCGUAAAGCGCGCGUAGGCGGCUUCGUAAGUCAGAUGUGAAAGCCCUCGGCUCAACCGAGGAAUAGCAUUUGAAACUGCGGAGCUAGAGUUCGGGAGAGGGUGGCGGAAUUCCAGGUGUAGGAGUGAAAUCCGUAGAUAUCUGGAGGAACACCAGAGGCGAAGGCGGCCACCUGGACCGAAACUGACGCUGAGGUGCGAAAGCGUGGGUAGCAAACAGGAUUAGAUACCCUGGUAGUCUACGCCGUAAACGAUGGAUGCUAGAUGCUGGGUGCUUAUGGCAUUCGGUGUCGGAGCUAACGCGUUAAGCAUCCCGCCUGGGGAGUACGGUCGCAGGCUGAACUCAAGGAUUGACGGGGCCCGCACAGCGGUGAGUUGUGGUUAUUCGAUGCACGCGAAGACCUACUUGGGUU